rnacentral:tRNA from 1 species
GGCGCUGUAGUGCAGUGGCUAGCACGUCCGCCGUAUGAGCGGAAGACCUCUGUUCGAGUCAGAGCGGUACCA